UAGGGAAUCUUCGGCAAUGGGGGGAACCCUGACCGAGCAACGCCGCGUGAGUGAAGACGGUUUUCGGAUCGUAAAGCUCUGUUGUUAAGGAAGAACGAGUGUGAGAAUGGAAAGUUCAUGCUGUGACGGUACUUAACCAGAAAGGGACGGCUAACUACGUGCCAGCAGCCGCGGUAAUACGUAGGGGGCUAGCGUUAUCCGGAUUUACUGGGCGUAAAGGGUGCGUAGGUGGUCUUUCAAGUCGGUGGUUAAAGGCUACGGCUCAACCGUAGUUAGCCUCCGAAACUGGAAGACUUGAGUGCAGGAGAGGAAAGUGGAAUUCCCAGUGUAGCGGUGAAAUGCGUAGAUAUUGGGAGGAACACCAGUAGCGAAGGCGGCUUUCUGGACUGCAACUGACACUGAGGCACGAAAGCGUGGGUAGCAAACAGG
rnacentral:rRNA from 1 species